GCCCCGAAGACCGGGAUAACACCGGGAAACCGGUGCUAAUACCGGAUACCCCCACCGGAUCGCAUGGUCUGGUGAGGAAAUAGAUUCUGCUUCGGGAGGGGCUCGCGGCCUAUCAGCUAGUUGGUGAGGUAACGGCCCACCAAGGCUUCGACGGGUAGCUGGUCUGAGAGGACGAUCAGCCACACUGGGACUGAGACACGGCCCAGACUCCUACGGGAGGCAGCAGUAGGGAAUCUUGCGCAAUGGGCGAAAGCCUGACGCAGCAACGCCGCGUGGGGGACGAAUGCUUUCUGGUUGUAAACCCCUUUCAGCAGGGAACGAUUGACGGUACCUGCAGAAGAAGCACCGGCCAACUACGUGCCAGCAGCCGCGGUGAUACGUAGGGUGCAAGCGUUGUCCGGAUUUAUUGGGCGUAAAGAGCUCGUAGGCGGUUUGAUAAGUCGGGUGUGAAAUCCCCGAGGCUCAACCGUGGGGCUGCCAUUCGAUACUGUCAUGAC
rnacentral:rRNA from 1 species